UUUGCUACUUUCACCAAGAUCAG
rnacentral:miRNA from 1 species